rnacentral:rRNA from 1 species
GACGGGGGGGGCAAGUGUUCUUCGGAAUGACCGGGCGUAAAGGGUACGUAGGCGGUGAAUCGGGUUGAAAGUGAAAGUCGCCAAAAAGUGGCGGAAUGCUCUCGAAACCAAUUCACUUGAGUGAGACAGAGGAGAGUGGAAUUUCGUGUGUAGGGGUGAAAUCCGUAGAUCUACGAAGGAACGCCAAAAGCGAAGGCAGCUCUCUGGGUCCCUACCGACGCUGGGGUGCGAAAGCAUGGGGAGCGAACAGG